rnacentral:rRNA from 1 species
UACGGGGGGGGCAAGCGUUGUUCGGAAUUACUGGGCGUAAAGGGCGCGUAGGCGGCUGCUCAAGUCGAAUGUGAAAACUCGAGGCUCAACCUCGAGCCUGCAUUCGAUACUGGGCGGCUAGAGUCUGGUAGGGGGAUCUGGAAUUCCUGGUGUAGCGGUGGAAUGCGCAGAUAUCAGGAGGAACACCAGUGGCGAAGGCGGCUCACUGGCUCGACACUGACGCUGAGGUGCGAAAGCGUGGGGAGCAAACAGG